AAAUAGCACCCAUCGGGUAAGGUAAGAACCUUCGACAAGGUUAGCGCCGAGCGCAGCGAGACAACAACGCAUCGCGUUGGCCCGAAGGGCGAGGAACGAAGUGACGAGUAAUCCUUCCCCCACCACCA
rnacentral:sRNA from 1 species